ACGACAAAAAGGCAACUAGGCAAUCCAUCUGUUCCCACGCAACGCUACCACCUUCAACUGCAGCCACCCAAACUCCGCGGCGGCCCCAGCGCUGCCUCAAGCCCAUGCACAGAUCACCUAUACCUUGGCACAGUGGCAAGUUCAGAGUUUAGAGCCACCAGAUUCAAGCUCCAGCAGCGCCGAUGCACAGCGAUGCCGCAAUGCCUCUCCGGCCAAGACCCCGUCUAAUGCCGCCACAAGAAGGAGAAGCUCCGGAAGCGAGACUGAACCGAGAUCCAGCACGCAAGGUCCCUGCCUGUGGUGCGAUUCAACUCCUCCUAGGUCCACUUCAAGCUCAUGGACUCCAUGGAGAAAGGAUACUUGUCAAGUCAGAGAAUGACUCCGAUAACCACAACGGCAAUGGAGGUGUGUGGCGUUGACCGUGACGAAGAUGACGCGGGGUUUGGGGAAGAGGGGGAGAGAAAGGGGGAGGGAUCCGGUUGGAGAGGUUGUGUCGGUGAUCAAGUUUCUUGGAGAUGGGUUCAUGAAGAUGGAAAUGCCGUCAUGGUAGCGGUGGUGGAGUAGCAGAGAAAAAAGGUGGUUAAGGUGGUGGUAAUGGAGGGAUGUGAAAGUUUGAGUGGGAAAGAAGAGAUGGUUGGGAGUUGAUGUUGAAGAUAAUGGUGGGGCUAAUUCUGGAAUUUUAUUAAAAAGUCAACAUGAAUUUAGGAUUUGGGUACUUUUGUCGUACGGAAUCCAUCUUUGAUGGAUACAACGUUAUUUUCCUUCUUUAAUGGGUAUUUUUGUUAGCGUUCGUAAAGUUCAUUGGUACAAAUGGUUGUUUUUCCAUAUAAUUUAUGCAUUCCUAGUUUUGUAUUUGAAAUUUAAGUUGAUUGAGGUUUAAAUUUUAUUUAGUUUGA